UCGAGAAUCUUUGUCAAUGGGCGAAAGCCUGAACAAGCGAUGCCGCGUGCGGGAUGAAGGCCUUCGGGUUGUAAACCGCUGUCAGAGGGGAGCAAAUUUUGAGCGAUCCUCAGAGGAAGCCCGGGCUAAGUUCGUGCCAGCAGCCGCGGUAACACGAACCGGGCAAACGUUAUUCGGAAUCACUGGGCUUAAAGGGUGCGUAGGCGGCAUGAUAAGUCGGGUGUGAAAUCCCCCAGCUCAACUGGGGAACUGCGCCCGAUACUGUGAUGCUUGAGGGAGAUAGAGGUGAGCGGAACUAGCAGUGGAGCGGUGAAAUGCGUUGAUAUUGCUGGGAACACCCGUGGCGAAAGCGGCUCACUGGGUCUCUUCUGACGCUGAGGCACGAAAGCUAGGGUAGCGAACGGGAUUAGAUACCCCCGUAGUCC
rnacentral:rRNA from 1 species